rnacentral:piRNA from 1 species
UGGGCCACUUGAGUGCACUGCAUUAU